rnacentral:rRNA from 1 species
CCUACGGGAGGCAGCAGUGGGGAAUCUUGCGCAAUGGGCGAAAGCCUGACGCAGCAACGCCGCGUGCGGGAAGAAGGCCUUCGGGUCGUAAACCGCUUUCAGCAGGAACGAAAAUGACGGUACCUGCAGAAGAAGGAGCGGCCAACUAUGUGCCAGCAGCCGCGGUGAUACAUAGGCUCCAAGCGUUGUCCGGAUUUAUUGGGCGUAAAGAGCUCGUAGGCGGUUGAGUAAGUCGGGUGUGAAAACUUUGGGCUUAACCCAAAGAUGCCACUCGAUACUGUUCAACUUGAGUUUGGUAGGGGAGUGGGGAAUUCCUUGUGUAGCGGUGAAAUGCGCAGAUAUAAGGAGGAACACCGGUGGCGAAGGCGCCACUCUGGGCCAAUACUGACGCUGAGGAGCGAAAGCGUGGGGAGCAAACAGGAUUAGAUACCCUGGUAGUCCACGCGGUAAACGGUGGUCACUAGGUGUGGGUCUCUAACCAAUGAGAUCCGCGCCGUCGCUAACGCAUUAAGUGACCCGCCUGGGGAGUACGGUCGCAAGACUAAAACUCAAAGGAAUUGACGG